rnacentral:misc_RNA from 1 species
GAUGAAGAACGUAGCGAAAUGCGAUAAGUAAUGUGAAUUGCAGAAUUCAGUGAAUCAUCGAAUCUUUGAACACACAUUGCGCCCCCUGGUAUUCCGGGGGGCAUGCCUGUUCGAGCGUCAUUUCACCACUCAAGCCUCGCUUGGUAUUGGGCAACGCGGUCCGCCGCGUGCCUCAAAUCGUCCGGCUGGGUCUACUGUCCCCUAAGCGUUGUGGAAACUAUUCGCUAAAGGGUGUUCGGGAGGCUACGCCGUAAAACAACCCCAUUUCUAAGGUUGACCUCGGAUCAGGUAGGGAUACCCGCUGAACUUAAGCAUAUCAAUAAGCGGAGGA